rnacentral:rRNA from 1 species
GUGAACUCGAAGAGUAGGGCGGGACACGUGGUAUCCUGUCUGAAUAUGGGGGGACCAUCCUCCAAGGCUAAAUACUCCUGACUGACCGAUAGUGAACCAGUACCGUGAGGGAAAGGCGAAAAGAACCCCGGCGAGGGGAGUGAAAAAGAACCUGAAACCGUGUACGUACAAGCAGUGGGAGCACCUUCGGGUGUGACUGCGUACCUUUUGUAUAAUGGGUCAGCGACUUAUAUUCUGUAGCAAGGUUAACCGUAUAGGGGAGCCGCAGGGAAACCGAGUCUUAACUGGGCGUUAAGUUGCAGGGUAUAGACCCGAAACCCGGUGAUCUAGCCAUGGGCAGGUUGAAGGUUGGGUAACACUAACUGGAGGACCGAACCGACUAAUGUUGAAAAAUUAGCGGAUGACUUGUGGCUGGGGGUGAAAGGCCAAUCAAACCGGGAGAUAGCUGGUUCUCCCCGAAAGCUAUUUAGGUAGCGCCUCGUGAAUUCAUCUUCGGGGGUAGAGCACUGUUUCGGCUAGGGGGUCAUCCCGACUUACCAACCCGAUGCAAACUACGAAUACCGAAGAAUGUUAUCACGGGAGACACACGGCGGGUGCUAACGUCCGUCGUGAAGAGGGAAACAACCCAGACCGCCAGCUAAGGUCCCAAAGUCAUGGUUAAGUGGGAAACGAUGUGGGAAGGCACAGACAGCCAGGAUGUUGGCUUAGAAGCAGCCAUCAUUUAAAGAAAGCGUAAUAGCUCACUGGUCGAGUCGGCCUGCGCGGAAGAUGUAACGGGGCUAAACCAUGCACCGAAGCUGCGGCAGCGACACUAUGUGUUGUUGGGUAGGGGAGCGUUCUGUAAGCCUGCGAAGGUGACCUGUGAGGGUUGCUGGAGGUAUCAGAAGUGCGAAUGCUGACAUAAGUAACGAUAAAGCGGGUGAAAAGCCCGCUCGCCGGAAGACCAAGGGUUCCUGUCCAACGUUAAUCGGGGCAGGGUGAGUCGACCCCUAAGGCGAGGCCGAAAGGCGUAGUCGAUGGGAAACAGGUUAAUAUUCCUGUACUUGGUGUUACUGCGAAGGGGGGACGGAGAAGGCUAUGUUAGCCGGGCGACGGUUGUCCCGGUUUAAGCAUGUAGGCUGGUUGUCCAGGCAAAUCCGGAUAAUCAAGGCUGAGGUGUGAUGACGAGGCACUACGGUGCUGAAGUAACAAAUGCCCUGCUUCCAGGAAAAGCCUCUAAGCAUCAGGUAACAUCAAAUCGUACCCCAAACCGACACAGGUGGUCAGGUAGAGAAUACCAAGGCGCUUGAGAGAACUCGGGUGAAGGAACUAGGCAAAAUGGUGCCGUAACUUCGGGAGAAGGCACGCUGGUGUGUAGGUGAAGUCCCUGCGGAUGGAGCUGAGACCAGUCGAAGAUACCAGCUGGCUGCAACUGUUUAUUAAAAACACAGCACUGUGCAAACACGAAAGUGGACGUAUACGGUGUGACGCCUGCCCGGUGCCGGAAGGUUAAUUGAUGGGGUUAUCCGUAAGGAGAAGCUCUUGAUCGAAGCCCCGGUAAACGGCGGCCGUAACUAUAACGGUCCUAAGGUAGCGAAAUUCCUUGUCGGGUAAGUUCCGACCUGCACGAAUGGCGUAAUGAUGGCCAGGCUGUCUCCACCCGAGACUCAGUGAAAUUGAACUCGCUGUGAAGAUGCAGUGUACCCGCGGCAAGACGGAAAGACCCCGUGAACCUUUACUAUAGCUUGACACUGAACAUUGAGCCUUGAUGUGUAGGAUAGGUGGGAGGCUUUGAAGCGUGGACGCCAGUCUGCGUGGAGCCAACCUUGAAAUACCACCCUUUAAUGUUUGAUGUUCUAACGUUGGCCCCUUACCGGGGUUGCGGACAGUGUCUGGUGGGUAGUUUGACUGGGGCGGUCUCCUCCCAAAGCGUAACGGAGGAGCACGAAGGUUAGCUAAUCCUGGUCGGACAUCAGGAGGUUAGUGCAAUGGCAUAAGCUAGCUUGACUGCGAGCGUGACGGCGCGAGCAGGUGCGAAAGCAGGUCAUAGUGAUCCGGUGGUUCUGAAUGGAAGGGCCAUCGCUCAACGGAUAAAAGGUACUCCGGGGAUAACAGGCUGAUACCGCCCAAGAGUUCAUAUCGACGGCGGUGUUUGGCACCUCGAUGUCGGCUCAUCACAUCCUGGGGCUGAAGUAGGUCCCAAGGGUAUGGCUGUUCGCCAUUUAAAGUGGUACGCGAGCUGGGUUUAGAACGUCGUGAGACAGUUCGGUCCCUAUCUGCCGUGGGCGCUGGAGAAUUGAGGGGGGCUGCUCCUAGUACGAGAGGACCGGAGUGGACGCAUCACUGGUGUUCGGGUUGUCAUGCCAAUGGCACUGCCCGGUAGCUAAAUGCGGAAGAGAUAAGUGCUGAAAGCAUCUAAGCACGAAACUUGCCCCGAGAUGAGUUCUCCCUGAGACUUUAAGUCUCCUGAAGGAACGUUAAAGACGAUGACGUUGAUAGGCCGGGUGUGUAAGCGCAGCGAUGCGUUGAGCUAACCGGUACUAAUGAACCGUGAGGCUUAACCUU